AACCAAAAAAAAAAAUCUCUUCCGAGCACGAGCCGCGACUACGCACCGAGGUAGAUCUCUCCGAAGGAGCCGCUCCCGAUCUUGCGGCCGAGCCGGAACAUGUUCCCGACCCUGGGCUCCAUUACUCCCGAAACUGCCAAAAAAACGCGCCCUUUCUGCAGCGGAAAUCUAGCUAGCGAGCUCAGAUCGGCGCGGGUGCGGCGGGACUCUGGGAUCUGGCGGCGGGAGGCUCCCGUGCUACCUAGGGUUUGUGGAUGAGGAUGGGGAGGAAACGGCGGCGGCAUUGCGGGGGAGGGCGCGCGUGCGUACACAAGCUUCGGGGGGUGGUGGAGCGAGUCCAAUCCUCCUCGGUUUUUCGGGGGGGAUGGGGGGAGUUGGGAAGUAGGCGAAGCUAAGCAACCAGGCAAAGCGAGACGAGGGGGCAAAGGGGCAAAAAAACCAAAAUACGUCGUCCACCUCUGGCUGUUUUGCGUUUCGGUCCCUCCCUUUCGUCGCUUUCGCUGUCCCUGUCGACCAUGGUGUACUGUUCCUCAAGGGUUAUUGCUCGGCGCACGCAAUGGGGUGCGCUGUACUAUAUUAUCCUGACAGACUCAUGAGGUGGCAGCACACUCUUUGUUGCUACUCUAUAAGCCUUGGUGUAUAGAUGUCCAUUCGGGCCGCCCGGCCCGGUCCGGCACGAGCCCGGCAUGGCCCGUUCGUUUUCGUGCCGGGCCUGGCCCGUCACGAUAACACCCUCGUGCCGGGCCGGGCCAGCCCACGGGCCUUGGGGGCUGCCCAUACACGGGCCCGUGAGGGCUUUUUCGUGCCGGGCCGGCCCGAAGGGCCCGUCUUUUUUUACGAGUCGGGCCAGCCCGCAGCCCAUAUUCACAACACACAAUGUCACAAUCACAGAAUCACAAUCACAAAUUCACUAUUCACAAUUCACAAUUCAUUUCCGCCAAAAACAUGGAAUAACAGACAGACAGACACAAUCACAGAAUAACAGACAGACACAAUCACAAAUUCACAAUUCACAAUUCACAAUUCAUUUGAGCUGUUUAACACUUGAUCUGUGUGAUCAAGUGUUGGCUGCCUCAUUAAAAACCUUCCUAGGUAAAAACUCACCCUUGUGAGAAAACCCUAGGAAGGGAAAAAGAGUACAGCCAGCUCAUGCUCAUUGUUUCAAUUCAACAUUACAAAGAGUUUGAGACACACACAGACACAAAACAUUACAACAUCUAAUGAACAACUGGCCAAGCUCCAUGCUCCAACAGGCAACAGGCAAUCAGGCAUUCAAAGUCAAGUCUCCAAGUCCAACAGCAACAGGCAACAGCCAACAUACAACAGGCUUCACUCUUCAGGACUUCAGGUUGCUCCUGGUCCUGGGGUAGGCCUGGAGGUGCACAAGCACAAGUGCACAACAGGGCAACAUUAGCUAUUAGUGUUUGCAAUUCAGUGACUAGUGUUUUUCAUAUUGAGUUAGCAAGAAGCACUAGAUGUUCGGAACUCCAGUGUUGACUAAUUUCUACCAUGUGCAUUUUCAUUUCAAUCCAAAACUUGGAUUAAUGAAUCCAGGAAUGACAAGGCAAAGGAAGGCGCUGGUUCAGUUGAUAGUUCUAUUCUGUGAAACUGUCCGCUUCAGGCGUUUGCGAGCAAAGCUUCUAGAGAUCAUGGAGGAUGGUCGGAGCAUCGCUUUACCUCAGAAGAUGUGGCCAUAGCUUCAGGAAUGGUCCACAACGUCAAUGUUUACCCUGAGCUGCAAGCAAAGAGAGGGACGUCGUAAUAUGCAGAACGACUCUCGUCUGUUGCGAAACGUUGAGGGUCUUGAAAUCAACAGCAGAGAUGACGUACCUGGUUUCAUUAGCCUCAUUUUGCACAAAGUCGUUGUUCCUUUUGCUUAAGUUGUAGUACAACAGGGAGGAUGUGGCUGAAUUCUUUAGCCUCAAUAUUUAUUCCUGAAAGUUAAACAGGGAGAAUGUUACUGACUUCCUUGACCUCAUUUUGCACAUGACAGUUGUUUCUAACGACGCAAAGUUAAGCGUACUAUUAAAACUUAAGCGUCGUUAGAAACAAAAAUACCGUGUGCAAAAUGAGGCUAAGGAAGCCAGCAACAUCCUCCCUGUUUAUAUUUCAGGAACAAAUAUUGAGGCUAAAGAAACCAACCACAUCCUCCCUGUCAUACUACAACUUAAGCAAAAGGAACAACAACCUUGUGCAAAAUGAGACUAAGGAAACCAGGUACGUCUUCUCUGCUGUUGAUUUCAAGACCCUCAACGCUUCGCAACACACGAGGGUCGUCCUGCAUAUUACCACCUCCCUCUCUUUGCUUGCAGCUCAGGGCAAACAUUGACAUUGUGGACCAUUCCUGAAGCCAUGACCACAUUUUCUGAGGUAAAGUGAAACUCCGACCAUCCUCCAUAAUCUCCAGAAGCUUUGCUCGCAGACGCUUGAAGCGGAUAGCUUCACAGAAUAGAACUAUCAACUGAACCAGCGUCUUCCUUUGCCUUGUCAUUUCUGGAUUCAUUAAUCCAAGUUUUGGAUUGAAAUGAAAAUACACAUGGUAGAAAUUAAUCAACACUGGAAUUCCGAACACCUAGUGCUUCUUGCUAACUCAACAUGAAAAACACUAGUCACUGAUAGGGAAUGCGCUUUCAGUUUUCCAGUAGUGAGUAUUGAGUAAUAAUAUUAUUUUCCUAAAAAAAGAAAAGAAGUAAAAAACCUUUUACAAAGAAAAAAUUAAUCAUUUUUACCCACCUCCAAUGCAAGUAAAAAAUAUCAUGGUGCUUCUCACACACUCAGAUUACAAGUCGUUUCUAAAAAAUUUAACUAUGACCACCCAUAUUAAUUGAUUACAGAGAUAUAACUGAGGUUGACAUUAUAAUUUGUGACAAAUAAGGUUGAUUGUUACAAAAGCAUUACGGUGAAAAGACUUGCAAAUUUUUUUUAUUUAGUACUUCAACCUAACUAUGGUCCUAAUAGUUAGGAUUCUAAAGUUAUGCAGCAACUGAUAAUUAAAAAGAGUAAAUCACACUCAACAUAGUAAAUAUAAAUAUUUUAGUAGAAAAAUAGACACGAAGGAAAGUUUUGAAGAGAUUGAACCUCGUGUUAGAAUUUCUCGAAAUUCCUAUGAAUUAAAGCAUUUUAUAGAAAUUUGUAAGAUUUUUUUCGAUAUUCAAUCUUUUAUUUUAAAGGGUACAUAGAAAAAAUUCUUAUAGAAAAUAAAUCCUACAAAUUUUUUCCGUUAAUCCUUUGUUCCAAAGGGAUAUCUAGCAUGACAUAUGGAUUGUAGUUUGAGUCAUAAGUAUUUUGAGCAAUACCAGAGGAUGAGUAAGGAUUAAGAGGAUAUUCAGAGAAAAAAAUAAUAUACCAAAUUUCAGUUUGGAUUCGUGUAAAGUUGUAUACCAAAUUUCAAACAACAUACAUCUUGUAUUUAUUUAAUUUGUGACCACUGUCGACAAUGCACACAUCUUGUAUGUAUAUUUAAUGAUCUAAACUACACUUCUAAGCCAUCGUUGUAAGAUACGCUCAGGCUCAUAUGUAGCACCUCAUGCACACAUUUGACGAGUUUACACGUCCGUUUAUACGUUUUGCAAACUUAUUAGAUCAAAGUUAUAGAACUAUACCAAUAAUUAUUGUAUAGUUAGUAUAAUUUACUCUAAUUGAAAAAAAAAUUUGAUACUAAUUGUAGAAUUAUUAGAUCGAAUGUAGUACCUGUGGAAGCUACGGAUCAGAUCAAUGUAAGAUGACUCUACGUCCAUACUCUCAACUGCAGGAUGGUCUGCUGAAAGUGGAAUACGGCGGUCGGAGAACUUGAGCCACUUCCCAUCCCCCUUCAUAUGAAGGGAAGGUAGAAAUCUUUCUCGUCGUGAGUAUCGAGACCGUCGGCCUAUCAUGGAACAUAAAGUUGACACGACGCCACCCUUCCGUCGCAGAAGUGAGGGGAACGUCGCGGAAGAGAUUGUCCUGCCCCGAGCCGGCACGAUCCAAAUCCUGCUGCACCAGCCAAUGCAUCACGUGCUCGUACUCCUAGAGGGACGGAUCCAUUGCGUCGAUAUCCACUAAAGGAAUCCACUGCAUAUUGCAUAAAAAGACCAAGAUUUAUCAUUUUCCGAUCAAAUCAUUAGAGUAGAAUUAUAAUCGGUCACCAAACCAUUAGAGUAGAAUUAUAAUCGGUCGACAGAGAACAGCACCAAAAACUCAAAAACAAAGAGUAUAUGACAAGAGCAGGUGUUAUUUUAGGGUUAGGAAAAGCAUAGUCAAGACGCACGGUUAAAAAAAUAGCUAAACAAGUAAAACUUAUAAGGAGCUAGGAUUUUAUAUACAAAUACUCAUCAUCACUCCUUAUCACUCCUUAGCGAAAAGAGAGCACGAAACCAAAAAAAAAAUCUCUUCCGAGCACGAGCCGCGACUACGCACCGAGGUAGAUCUCUCCGAAGGAGCCGCUCCCGAUCUUGCGGCCGAGCCGGAACAUGUUCCCGACCAUGGGCUCCAUUACUCCCGAAACUGCCGAAAAAACGCGCCCUUUCCGCAGCGGAAAUCUAGCUAGCGAGCUCAGAUCGGCGCGGGUGCGGCGGGACUCUGGGAUCUGGCGGCGGGAGGCUCCCGUGCUACCUAGGGUUUGUGGAUGAGGAUGGGGAGGAAACGGCGGCGGCAUUGCGGGGGAGGGCGCGCGUGCGUACACAAGCUUCGGGGGGUGGUGGAGCGAGUCCAAUCCUCCUC
rnacentral:lncRNA from 1 species